rnacentral:rRNA from 1 species
AUUGAACGCUAGCGGGAUGCUUUACACAUGCAAGUCGAACGAGUGGCGGACGGGUGAGUAAUAUCUCGGAACGUGCCUAGUAGCGGGGGAUAACUACUGGAAAGAGUGGCUAAUACCGCAUACUAUGGGAUGGGCCCCUAUGGGAUUGGCUGGUUGGUGGGGUAAAGGCUCACCUAGGCGACGAUCCCUAGCUGGUCUGAGAGGAUGAUCAGCCACACUGGGACGGAGACACGGCCCAGACUCCUACGGGAGGCAGCAGUGGGGAAUAUUGCACAAUGGGCGCAAGCCUGAUGCAGCCAUGCCGCGUGUAUGAAGAAGGCCCUAGGGUUGUAAAGUACUUUCAGUCGGGAGGCGUUACCGACAGAAGAAGCACCGGCUAACUCCGUGCCAGCAGCCGCGGUAAUAC